rnacentral:misc_RNA from 1 species
AAAAAAAAGGGAGGAAAUUGUUUUGUUUCUCUUUUUCCUCUCUCUCCUAGCGUGAACUGUUGAAGGAAAGAGGCUAUGAAGUCUAAAAUGUACUGGGUGCGCAGGAUAGAAGAAGGUGCCACUAGCAUUUUUGUCAAAAAAGUUAAAAUGAACAAGGUGCACCAAAUAGCGGCUGUGUAUAUAAGGCCCAAUUAAUCGGCCAAAUCGAAAAUGGUGUUGUUGUUUGCUUAAGAAAAAACAUUCCUCUUUCUCUUUCUCAAAGCUCUGCGAAAAAGCCAUUGAAGCUUCUCUUUUCUCUCUCUAAAACCAGUGGAAAAAAGUUUUUCUUUUCCUUUCUUUAACUGAAUUCUAAGUUAUGUAAAUGAAUGUAACUGAAAGCUUCAAACUUUGGUUCAAUUAUCAUUACUAUUAGCAAAAAGAUUUAAUCUUUACUCUCUCCUUUUUGAAGCUGUAAUCCCUUGAUCGCUGUUUCUACAGUUUUGGCUUCAAUAUUUCAGUGUAAAAGUAGCGAAAUCGGUUUCAUUUUCGUGUGUAUUUUUUUUUCUUUCCUGGCAAGAUUGAGCUUAUAAUUUGAGUGAUCCAUGUCGUCUGAUAUAAGUUAGAGGCUUUUGCUAUACAUUUUUCGUUCUAAAUUGGUUUUGGAAGGGAAUAUUUUCAACCAAGUGCAUGGCAAACUGCAGUAACUGUUGGUACUCUGAAAUCUUUGCUAUAGAUCUUGAAAGUUUGAAUUUUUAUUUCAGAUUGUGAGAUUUGUGAGAGGUAGUAGAGUUUAGCGGAGAAAGGGGUUUUAGCCUGGUUGUUGGGGGGUGGUGUGAGGAAUGGGUAGGGAUCGUCUGCUUUUGGCUACAGUAGGACCACCGAUAAAGGCACGAGCGGGUUUACGGAGAAAACAGGCAGGAAGAGGCUCUUACAGGGGAAGCUAGCUUGGGUGGAAUUAGGUUUUUGUUUUGGUGGAGGUUUUAUUUAACUGAUAAAGUUGGUUUGGUUGGUGGUGGAGGUGCAUCGUUUUUAGGGUGGCGGGCUGGUUUUAGGAAUUUUGAGGGAGGAUGGGAACUGACUUGCAUAAUACACUAAGGAGCCUCUGCUUCAACACCGAGUGGAAGUACGCUGUGUUUUGGAAGCUCAAGCAUCGAACUCGCAUGGUGUUAACUUGGGAAGAUGCUUACUAUGACAAUUGUGAGCAACAUGAUCCUUUAGAGAGUAAGUGCUUCAGGGAGACAUUAGAACACUUGUGUGGUGGGCGUUAUUCACAUGACCCGCUUGGAUUAGCUGUGGCAAAGAUGUCAUAUCAUGUCUAUUGUCUUGGAGAAGGGAUUGUUGGACAGGUGGCAGUUACUGGAAAACAUCGAUGGAUCAUUGCAGAUAAACUUGUAACCAGUUCCAUCUCAUUUGAGUUCUCAGACGGCUGGCAAAGUCAGUUUUCAGCUGGGAUCAAGACCAUUGUUGUCGUAGCUGUUGUUCCGUAUGGAGUUGUACAGCUUGGCUCUUUGAAUAAAGUUGCUGAGGAUCUGAAGCUGGUAACCCAUAUAAAAGAUGUCUUUCUAUCCCUUCAAGAUUCCUCAGUUGGGCACAUUACUGGUGCACUACAAUAUAGUAUGAAGAGUUCUUUAUAUCUGCCAGAUUUACGUACAAAAGGAUUGGAUUCAGAAUCAGAGCUUAUUCCUGAUAGUCUAUGCAAUCUAGAUAAAGCUACAGACAAGGAAGGGCAGCCUAUGUUUCCUUAUUUACAGAAAGAAUGUGAUAAUUCUUAUUUUUGUUCCCUUCCUGGUAUAGAUCAGAAUACAGCAGAUGAAGUGGCAAAUAAACAUGGAGGGCAUGUAUUAUCUACACUGGAGAAUGAUAAGAGUGUCAAAUUACUUCAUCUUGGAUCUGGUAUUUCCUAUUUGGAGCAGCAAAAUCAAGUAGGAAUAGAUUUUGUAGAUGAGCAAAAAUGUGGAGGGGAGAAUAGUGUUUGGAAAGAUCCAGAUGUGGGAUCAAAACUUAAUGUAACUUCACAUUUAAAUAAUUCUGUUCAGGAUAAUAUAAAGUUAUAUAAUGUUGUACUUCCUAAUGAAAACUUUGGAGCUGAUCUUGUGAACUACCCUGUGGACCUCCUUGAUUCUACUGUUUGUGAUAGACCUAAGUCAGAUGGCAUGGAUGUUUACCUAAAUGGGGUGGUGAACGUGCCUGAAUCUUCAGACAUGAACGUCAAAAAAGAGUUGGAGAAGAAGCUGGAGUAUCAAGCUGAGUCAAGUCACUUAGACGACUCGAAUGCAUUUUUAAAGUUCUCUGCUGGCUGUGAGCUACAUGAAGCUCUAGGACUAGCUUUUUCAAAAGGGUGUUUGUACAUUGAUUGUGAAGCAGAUAAGACUGAAUCUGGGAACAUUGUUGAGGUGCCAGAGGGGUUAAGUAUUAGCCAGAUGACAUUUGACACAAGUCCAGAAAAUCUUUUAGAAGCAGUAGUAGGUAAAGUUUGCCAUAGCAGCAGUGAUGUGAAAAGUGAGAGAUCAGUCUGUAAAUCAGUUCAAUCUCUGCUAACAACUGGGAAAAUUCCAGAGCCUCCUAGCCAGACAAAACAUAUUAUUUGUUCAGCUGGUUAUUCAAUUAAGCAGUCUGUUGUUGAAGAGGAUACACAGAAUUGCUCAAGCUCAACAGGGGUGUAUGCUGCAAUGUCUUCUAGAGGAUUUUCAUCAACUUGUCCAAGUACUUGUAGUGAAGAGUUGGAUAGGCGCCCAGAACCAGCUAAGAACAACAAAAAGAGGGCAAGACCUGGUGAAAACUGUAGGCCUAGGCCAAGGGAUAGACAACUGAUUCAAGAUCGUAUUAAGGAGCUGAGAGAGCUUGUGCCCAAUGGUGCAAAGUAUUGAUUCCUUGCUGGAGCGCACGAUCAAACACAUGCUCUUUUUAGAAAGUAUCACAAAGCAUGCUGACAAGAUCAAUAAAUGUGCUGAAUCAAAGGUAAAAGCUAUGAUGCUUUUAAAGGACUUGUUUCUGUAAACAAUGAAUUCAUUCAAUCUCCAUAUGUUAAAUAGAGGGAAUUUAAAUUUGUUGACAUGAUAUGUGCAUUAUAUUUAUUUGCUUCUGGAGUUAUGGUUUCUGCAAAGCCCCUACCCCUAUUAUUGCUGAUUUGCUAAUUCUUCUUGGUAAAUUCAUUGAUACUACAAAUACCUGUUUUACCAAGCUGCCAUUGAAUGACAUGCGAUGUUUUGAAGUCUCUGUUAACACACAAUUUUUAUGGAGUUAAUGCUAUUUCAGCUGUGAUUGUUCUUCUGCCUGUGUACGUCCUAUUGCUGAAUUUGCAGAUGUAUCAGAAGGGAACAGACGCCUCUAACUAUGAAAAGGGUUCAAGCUGGGCAGUGGAGGUGGGAGGCAACCUAAAAGUUUCUUCAAUAGUAGUAGAGAACCUAAACAAAAAUGGGCAGAUGCUUGUAGAGAUGCUAUGUGAGGAAUGCAGUCAUUUUCUUGAGAUAGCAGAAGCUAUCAGAAGCUUGGGUCUGACAAUUUUGAAAGGGAUUACAGAAGUGCAUGGUGAGAAGUUAUGGAUAUGUUUCAUGGUUGAGGGUCAAAAUAACAGAGUCAUUCAUAGAAUGGAUAUCCUAUGGUCACUCGUGCAGAUAUUGCAACCUAAGACUUUAAACUAGCAACAAAGACCAGUCAGCUCAUGGAGAUUGUCGUGUUGCUCCUCUGUAAAAUAGUGUGAGUCAUUCACUCAUUUGUGAUCUUUGAUUGGCAUUUUUUUAGUCGUGAUUCUUGUUUUGUAUUCCCCUUUUCCUGAAAUAAAAAGGAAAUGAAAAGAAAUGAAGACCAGCAUUUAUGUGAAGAGCUUCUUUAUUUUUUACUUGACAAUGUGCGAUUUGCAUCUCUUUUCCCUCAGAUUUUUAAAACCCAUAUCCGUUUGAAAGUUUAAUUAUGAAAUAAUGUAGCGAGCCAUCAUUCAAUAUUACAGUAUCUUUCUUGCCUAAUUUCAGCCUUCAUUGGUCUCUUCACUAAUUAAAAGUUUGCUACUAGCUCUACAUUGACAGUCAUUUCUUCUUUCCAAUGUACCAAAAAAAAUUUUCUUUCUUGCUUAAUUUUGGCUCUCAUUUGUUUCUUUGCAUUGAACAUUACUGGUAUCAUGUUGUCUUGAAACUGCAAAAGAACAGAAGAAUGUCUCAGGGAGUAAAUAACUUUAUUACAGAUAUGAUUCGGACAGAUUAUUUUAGUUUCCAAUAAAAGUUAUUUCCACCAGAAAUUGUGCACCAAGAACAAGGGUUCAGACUAGUUCAAAAUGAGGGAGGUUUGAGUUACUAUCAAAUUCUCUAGACUUGAAGUAGGCCAUAAACUCACAAACAUGAGUUUCCCUGUAGGUGGGUGGGUUGACAGAUAGAAGUUCCCUGCUUCCCUUGCUGCUCCGUAGUGUUUAAAUUUAUUUUUGCGUGCUUGGAUAGAAAAAAGCAUGCUACUGAUGUCCUGGGUCCGACCCCUCGAACGGGUACUUUGCUCCACAUUUCUGAACUUGUUAUUAGUGAUGAGUUACAGAAAUGGAGAAAUAGAAAAGAUGGGGAAGUGUAGGUCAUGAUACCAGGAAAUAAUUUAAUUUUGUAUUUUUAUUGCAAUUUUUCAACGUUGACUCCUAAUGUUAAUGUGGAUGGAUAAGUUGGCGGUAGUACCCUAUGAUUAUUUUACAUUUCAUGUGGCUGGUCUCAUUUAUGAUUCAGUUGUGUCCAAUAUAUAUGCUCAAGAAAUCAUAAGAAAAUUUCGAAAGAAUUAUAAUCCUGGCUGAUUCGAUUUUAAAACUUUAAAACAUAAUAAUAAUAAUAAUAAU